ensembl:snRNA U6 U6 spliceosomal RNA
GUGCUUGCUUUGUCAGGAUAUAUACUAAAAUUGGAAUAAUACAAAGAAGUUUAGCAUGGUCUUUGUGCAAGGAUGACAGGUAAAUUCAUGAAGUGUUCCAUAUUUUA